rnacentral:rRNA from 1 species
UUGCAGGCUGCAACUCGCCUGCAUGAAGUCGGAAUUGCUAGUAAUCGUGGAUCAGCAUGCCACGGUGAAUACGUUCCCGGGCCUUGUACACACCGCCCGUCACACCAUGGGAGUCGGUAACACCCGAAGCCUGUAGUCUAACCGCAAGGAGGACGCAGUCGAAGGUGGGAUUGAUGACUGGGGUGAAGUCGUAACAAGGUAAC